UUCGGUACAUCUCACUCAUGCUCAAGGGCAAAACAAUUUGAAAUCGUGUGUACUCGCACUGAUUUCGCCCUUGAGGGGCAAGGUGGAGUGAGGUAGCUGUCUAGUAUCUAACUGUGACUGGAGUUACAACGCAGACUAGUCACAUUUGACAUGAGAAAUCGUGAGUGUUGUCAGACACGAUAAAAUUAAGGUUACUCGUUACCACUAAUAACGGGAGCAGCUCAUGUCUGCAAGAAAGAAACUUGAGUACGAUCUUCUUAAGAGAGGUAUAUAUAAAUAGGAAACGAUUAUACUUAACCGACGCAGUUGCAGUAUCCGUCGCAACCAGUCCGUGAUUAAGAAGGUCACAUUAUUCCUUUGCUAUAUUAUGUGUUAAACCUUCUGACUCAGCUCACAUAAACCUUUCGCAACUCCUCAUUCACUAAAGAAUAUACAUUUUCUAGAGAAUGGAUAUUGGCAACCUUAUCCAGGCCCCAGAAAAUAAAAUGCAGUUUAAUAGA